rnacentral:lncRNA from 1 species
AAACAAACAAGCAAACAAGGAAACAACUAAAAAUAUAUCUCCCAGUCUGUGCUUAUCAGAUCUGUGCUAAGGAACUCCUUCAAUUCUUAACUAAGCUUGCACAGAGCCAAAGGAGAAACCUGAGGCUACAAGCCUGUACAGAAUGUUAUGACACUGUAUACUGGAGGCAACUCUAACACAAUGUACAUGAAUCACUCCUACUAAGAGAUCCUGAAAGAGGUCAUCAAAGCCACCAGAAACUAUUCCUGGACAGAGGAGGUUUUAUAGGUGUGGUUGGUCUCCUUACUGACGUGUCAACUACAAAUGCACAGGGUUCUGCCUGAAAUGUUUUAGUUGUUGCAGAUGUGUAGCUUCUAUAUGUAAAGUCUUCACUGCACGUGCUACAGAAACUUGAACUAUCUGAAGAGAGGAUGGAGUCAUCAGAUACUGGGAACAAGAAGACUAAGCAAUAAGUGAGAAAAGAAAUGAUGGAAUAGAUGUGAGGCUUCCACAGCAAACUCCUGUAAAACCUGCAGUUAAACCUGAGCAAGAGGAAUGUGACAUAUGUGUCUUUGCUCUUUAUUUGGAUCUGUGUGUAUGCUCUUGGAGCAGUGGCGAAGAAGCUCCAGGGUAAUCUAAAAACCAAAAUAAAUGCCUUGAGAUCUUUUCUGGGAAUGAAAAAAUACAAAGACAAGCUAAGAAGCUGGAGCAGGAAAUUGACUUCAAACUCUGCUUGGAGAAUCACCAGCUGCAAAACUGUAUGGGGCAAAUUUCUCAUAAGAGUAUAGAGGAUGUGACACUGUACAGAGUUCACACUCAUGACUCAAUGAUGAAAUGGAAACCAGGAAGACCUGAUUAUGCAUGUCUGUGAAACUCACCCAUGCCAUCUGGAAAGGAAAAAGUUAAGUUGCAUUUCUGCAAUACAUUCUCUCCCUUCCCUGAGCUGCUCCUGGAAUAUAAAGAAAGCAAGUACUUAAUUAUGUGAAAAUAAUUACGUCCUUCUUUAAGGGAUCUAGCAUCUUCUUCAUUAAAUUAUGUCUUUCUCUAAUGCAACUUAAAACCACAAUGAGAUACCACCUUAACGCAGCCAAAAUGGCCAUGAUUAAAAAGUAAAAAAAAAUUAGAUGUUGGCAUGGAUGUGGUGAAAAGGGACUGCUUAUACAAUGCUGAGAAUGUAAAGUAGUACAACUUCUAUGAAAAACAGUAUGAAUAUUUAUAAAGAAAUAAAAGUAGAUCUACCAUUCGAUCCAGCAAUCCUACUACUGGGUAUCUACCCAAAGAAAAAGUCAUCAUUAUAUCAAAAAAACACCUGCACACAUAUAUUUAUUACAGCCCAGUUCAGAAUUGCAAACAUAUGGGACCAACCUAAGUGUCCAACAGCUGAUAAAUGGAUAAAGAAGAUGCGAUAUAUACAUUUUAUAUAUAUAUAUAUAAUAUAUAUAUUAUAUAUAUGUGUGUAAUACGGGAUACUACUCAACCAUAAAAAAUAAUAAAAUAAUAUCUAUUGCACAAUUUGGAUAGAGCUGGAGGCCAUUAUCCUAAGUGGAGUAACUAGGGAAUGGAAAACCAAAUACUGUAUGUUCUCACUUAUAAGUGGGAGCUAAGCUUUGGGUAUGCAAAGGCAUGUGGAGUGGUACAAUGGAUAUUGGAGACUUAGAAGUAGGGAGGGUGGGAGUUUUGGAAAAAACCACAUUAAAACUGCACUAAAAUCUUAGACUUCAUCACUAUACAAUUCAUCCAUGUAACUAAGACCCACUUGUACCUCAAAAGCUAUUUAAAUAAAAAAAUAUAUAUACUAAAAUUAUGUCCUUCCUCAAUAUGACCCAGCCUCAAGGGGACCCAGCCUCCUUUUCAAUCAAGAGAUUCUUGGUAUGUAAACUGCUCAAGAAUGGAAACAAUUAAGGGGCCAUGAGUCUGUUUUGGUGACAGGUUAUAUUUCUGUUCGGUAGAUCCAGAACUUCUCAUUUACACGAUCAAAAAAGAAUUUAAGAGACUGCCAUCUAUAUUUUUUUCUAGGGAAGCCAAUGGUUAACUAGCCAACACCAUACAUCUCUGUGAGUCAAUCUAUUCUGAUCACAGUUUUGCAUCUCCUGUCUGUUACAGUAAUCAUGCUUGCCUUGUGUUUAGUAAUUAAGUGCCACCACUUGCACCACGCCACUUAGGAUCCUAUUAUCCUCAUUGCAUUUAGAGAUUCCUGUUUUAUUGCAGCAGUUACCAUUGUAAUUUCUGACCUACAGCAAAGAGUGACUACAGAGCUCUUCAAGGAUGCUGGGAUUCCCCUCACAAAUUUGAGAGGAUGAGAAGAUAUGAGCAAUAAUGAGGAAAAAAUUUAAUAUUUUUAUUAAAACUUAUAGUCUGUGAGGGUUUUUAUAACACAUCUGUAUUUUAUAAUAUCUGAAUUUAAACAUCUCAGCACUUUCAAAAACAAGCAAGUCAUGUAUACUUAGCACUAAAUAUAUUUAUAGUUCAGAAUUUAAUGUGCUAUUUUUACAUAUUCUAGAGAAUCAACAAGGUUUUUGUGUGGGUGGAAAAGCAUAGCUCUCCAUAUGUAUUAUAUAAUUAUAUUUGAAUGGGAAACAAAGAAGAGCAGAAGUCCUUAUAUCAUAUAAAACAGAUUUUAAAUCACUGAAAACUUUUUAAACUUCUUGACUUUUUUCUAAUAACACAGCUUAAAACCCAAACACAUUGUACAGCUGUACAAAAACAUUUGCUUUAUGUCCUUAUUCUAUAAGCUUUUUUCUAUAUUUAACAUUUUAAUUUUUUUUUUUUAUAAAACUUUUGUGUUAAAAACCAAGACACAAACACGCAUGUUAGCCUAGGACUGCUCAGGAUCAGGAUCAUCAAUAUCACUGUCUUCCACCUCCAUAUCUUGUCCCACUGGAAGGUCUUUAAGGGCAAUCACACAUGAAGCUGUCAUCUCCUAGUAUAAUAAUGCCUUCUUCUAGAACACCUCAUGAAAGAACUGUUUGAGAAUGUUUUGCAGUUAACACCUUUCUUUUAUAGUUCAAGGAGUACACUUUUAAAUAAUGAUAAAAUUAUAGCAUAGUAAAUACAGAAACCAGUAACAUAGUUAUUAAUUAUCAUUGAGAAGUAUUAUGUACUGUACAUAAUUGUAUGUACUAUGCUUUUAUUCGAUUGGCAGUACAAUAGGUUCAUUUACACCGGCACUACCAAAAACACGUGAGUAAUGAGUUGCGAUAUGACUUAGGAUGGUUACCGCAUCACUAGGUGAUAGGAUUUUUUUAGCUUCAUUAUAAUCUUAUAGGGCUACCAUCAUAUAUGUAGUUUAUUAUUAGUGAAAACAUCAUCAUGUGGUGCAUGACUAUGUAUAAUUUUAUGUACCACUUGCUGUGAAUUAUCAUUAAUUUUUGUGAUGAGCACUGAAGCAGGAAAUAAAAAUUGAGUUUGGCUGAGCAUGGUGGCACGCGCCUGUAGUCCCAGCAAUCCAGGAGGCUGAGACAGGAGGAUCCCUUGAGCCCAGGAGUUUUAGUCCAGCCUCAGCAACAUGACAAGACCCGCAUUUGAAAUAAUAAUAAUAAUAGUAAUAUUAAUUGAGGUUGUAAGAUAUUCAAAAGGCAACAGCCUUAAAAUCACCUUAUACUCUGUUCUUUUUUAG